rnacentral:tRNA from 1 species
GCCGGAGUGGCGGAAUCGGUAGACGCAGCGGACUCAAAAUCCGCCGCCUUUAAAAGCGUGUGGGUUCGAGUCCCACCUCCGGCACCA